UACGUAGGGCGCAAGCGUUGUCCGGAAUUAUUGGGCGUAAAGAGCUCGUAGGCGGCCUGUUGCGUCCGCUGUGAAAACCCGGGGCUUAACCCCGGGCUUGCAGUGGAUACGGGCAGACUAGAGUGUGGUAGGGGAGACUGGAAUUCCUGGUGUAGCGGUGAAAUGCGCAGAUAUCAGGAGGAACACCGAUGGCGAAGGCAGGUCUCUGGGCCACUACUGACGCUGAGAAGCGAAAGCAUGGGGAGCGAACAGG
rnacentral:rRNA from 1 species